CUGCCUAUGUAGGAAUCGGCGGUCGAAUUAGAUCUCGAAGUCGAUGCCGUAUUGGUACUAUUCUCCGUAGCCAUGGUCGAUAAAUCUCUCUUUCUUUACUCCAAUCCUAACCUACAAAUACACAGACAUGCAUAUAUCUCUAUCUAUUAAACAGAGAUUCAGAAGAAAAAAUCCAGAAACUGAACUCAAAGUGCAGAGAGAGAGGGGAUUAGGGUUUAGGUUAUCUUUGCGAUU
rnacentral:misc_RNA from 1 species